GAAUUAUGAUCUUCAGACAUGUUUUGAUUGGGAGAGGUUGGAAGGAAAAAAAAAGUAGGAAACUGAAAUUUGAUGGCUUCUUGAUUGUGAAGUCAUUAGAAUGAGUGAUUUUUAUUUUAUUUAUUUUUUAUUUUUUUCACAUACUAACAGCUUCAUUGCUUUGUAGCUAUGAAGAAGUUGGAGAUGAACUUCAGAAAUACAUAGAUAGGGUUUUACUAAAAAAAAAAUAAAAAUAGAGAAAAGUUGUUACUGGAAUAAGCUGUGAGCAUAUCAUGGCAUAGGUUUUAUAGCCCUCAGUACUCAAGGGGUUCUUUCCAGCAGUACUGGGUUCUCCUUAUUUGUACUUUGUUGGUCUGUACUUGUGCUUUUUAUGCUUUUCUUCAAGCUCUUCUGUGAAAGGUCCACAAGGAUGAGGAAAAUUCCCUUCUUUGAAGAUGAAAGAAUGGAUCUUGUUAGCCUCUUGAAAGCAUUGUCCCCCAAAAUAAAAAAUAUCUAAACACUAAACACUUCUGUCCCAUAUUCUGUCCCAUCAACUCUCAGUGCAGGAGCUAAAGGAAGACAAGCUGCAGCCUUCACAGUGGGGAAAGCCUUGGGCAUGAAGUUGUGUGCAGUCACACAGCUGAAGCUUGUUUCAUGUAGGACUUGUUUCGUCAAGUCAUGAGGAUUCGAUCAUUCACUAGUUAUUGAUAUUAGUUUCCAUUCCUAAUGCGGGCAUCAAGCCUGGCUAGAUGAUUAUCAUUUAUUCUCCAGUGUCUGAGCACGUGUCUUUGCAGACUAGAGAGCAGAUGGCUGCCUCUAGAAAGAGGGGGAAUAUUUUCAUGUAGAUGGGAAUCGGAGUCACUCAGGGUAUUACCACAGCAGCAGUAAUUCCUCUACAAACCAGAGUCUUUUUUUUUUUUUUUUUUUUUUUUUUUUAAGUGGAUGCUAAUCCUUAGAUCCCAUGAGCACAAUCAAUGCAGCUGUACUACACACUGGGAUAUCUUUUGUGGUUAACUGUAAAUAGCAACUCGCAUACCAGAUCACUAUCAGGCAGUCACCCGGACAGACAUGCAAACAUGUUGUUGUUGACUAUUUGUCUACUGGAUUUAUGAAUCAGUUUCCUAAGGAAAUAAGGCUCCUGCUUUCAUUCCACCUAUGUGCUUGCUGCUGAGCCUUUCCUUUAUUACUUCUUCACAUAUAAUUUUUUUCCUUUAUUAACAUUUAUUAACAAUAAUUUCAGACUCUUUCAUCAUACUAAUCAAGUCUGAUGGAAAGCUGCAGGUCUGUAAUGAUACCGAGUUCCUCCCUGCACCAAACCCACAGGUGAUGGGUAGAGGAGGGCAUGCCCUGCUUGUGGGGCUGCCCACCCCACAGUAAGGGAAGUUAUGGGUUUGGCUGCUGGAUUUGCCACCGUGCUGCGGACCAACCUGCCAGCCUUUCCCUAUAAGUUAAACAUGA
rnacentral:lncRNA from 1 species